AAUCACCUGUAGACUUGCACCCUCGCUCCGUAAGUCGUAACAAGGUAACCGUAGUUCCGAUCCUGGCUCAGGACGAACGCUGGCGGCGUGCCUAAUACAUGCAAGUGGAACGCACAGAUGAUACGUAGCUUGCUACAAUUAUCUGUGAGUCGCGAACGGGUGAGUAACGCGUAGGUAACCUAGCUUAUAGCGGGGGAUAACUAUUGGAAACGAUAGCUAAUACCGCAUAAAAGUGGUUGACCCAUGUUAACCAUUUAAAAGGAGCAACAGCUCCACUAUGAGAUGGACCUGCGUGGAUUUAGCUAGUUGGUAGGGUAAAGGCCUACCAAGGCGACGAUACAUAGCCGACCUGAGAGGGUGAACGGCCACACUGGGACUGAGACCUCGGAUAGACUCCUACGGGAGGCAGCAGUAGGGAAUCUUCGGCAAUGGGGGGAACCCUGACCGAUCAUCGCCGCGUGAGUGAAGAAGGUUUUCGGAUCGUAAAGCUCUGUUGUUAGAGUCAUACAGUGAUGGGAGUGGAAAGUCCAUCAUGUGACGGUAACUAACCAGAAAGGGACGGCUAACUACGUGCCAGCAGCCGCGGUAAUACGUAGGGGUCGAGCGUCUACCGGAUUUAUUGGGCGUAAAGCGAGCGCAGGGGAUUUGAUAAGUCUGAAGUUAAAGGCAGUGGCUUAACCUAUCGAUGCUUUUCAUACUGUUAAACUUGAGUGCAGAAGGGGAGAGUGGAAUUCCAUGUGUAGCGGUGAAAUGCGUAGAUAUAUGGAGGAACAUAUAUGGCGAAAGCGGCUCUCUGGGAUGUAACUGACGCUGAGGCUCGAAAGCGUGGGGAGCAAACAGGGCAUUCUAUUUUGGUAGUCCACGCCGUAAACGCUUGUAGCUAGGUGUUAGGCCCUUUCCGGGGCUUAGUGCCGGAGCUAACGCAUUAAGCAUUCCGCCUGGAGAGCAAUCCAACGCUA
rnacentral:rRNA from 1 species